AGCAGGGGCCCUGAGCAUGCUGCCUUCCCCAGGUCUAGAUCCACCCUGGGGAUGCGAACAGCGUGCACGCUGUUUUGAGUGGAGUUGCGUAUCCAGUGUCUUCUGGAGGCCAGGGUCUGUCCUGGCUCCCUAUAGUUUGGCAGUCUCUGCCCUUGGUAGUCCUAUCCAGCUGUGGCCCCAUGCCAGCAUCUCAGCCUGUCCCUGAUCUCUUCCAGGCACGAGGCCCAGAGAUUGGAACAAGAAGCCCGAGGCCGACUAGAGAGGCAGAAGAUCUUGGACCAAUCAGAAGCUGAAAAAGCUCGCAAAGAACUCCUGGAGCUUGAAGCUUUGAGCAUGGCGGUAGAGAGCACCGGGACUGCCAAGGCUGAGGCUGAGUCCCGUGCAGAGGCUGCGCGGAUUGAGGGCGAAGGCUCUGUGCUGCAGGCCAAGCUGAAGGCACAGGCUUUGGCCAUUGAGACGGAGGCUGAGCUCCAGCGGGUCCAGAAAGUACGAGAGCUGGAACUGGUCUAUGCCCGGGCUCAGCUGGAGCUGGAAGUGAGCAAGGCCCAGCAACUGGCUGAGGUGGAGGCAAAGAAGUUCAAGCAGAUGACAGAGGCCCUGGGCCCCAGCACCAUCAGGGACCUGGCUGUGGCCGGGCCAGAGAUGCAGGUCAAACUGCUCCAGUCCCUUGGUCUGAAAUCCACCUUGAUCACUGAUGGCUCCUCUCCCAUCAACCUCUUCAACACAGCCUUUGGGCUGCUGGGGCUAGGGUCUGAUGGUCAGCCCCAGGCCCGAAUGGCGGCUAGUGGGCACAGCCCCCAGGAGGGUUUACAUAUUCGGGGUCCUCCCACCUCUCCAACUGCUGGAGGCAACCAAAUUGUACCUUAGCUCUUACUCACUCACAACUGACCAAUAAAGUGGACAUUUCUGGGCAUUUAAAUUCUUUAUCUUAAGCCUGGGCUACGAGGAGCUCACUGGUGGAGGGAAGUGUACCCUUGACAUCUGGAAGGUAAUUACUAGAGACUAUGCACAUCUGUAAAGUGGAGAGGAAACGGAGUCAGAGAUGAGCCCAAAGUUGCCCUGAUCACAAUGGGAUCCCCAAAGCCUUGGCAAGCUGUCUGUCCUUUAGGGAGUCAACUUUCCUAGAUCCCAGGUCAGGAAGAUGAUGUCACCCAUGGAAGAACGCAGUCUGCCUGCCAAGCCCUCUGGGAUGGCUGGGACUGGCAGCCUCUCCAUCCAUUCAUCCCUCUAAGAACUCAGGUUGGCCUGGCAGUUCUGAAUCUACCCAGAGCCACCAUGGAGGCCCCUCACCCCCAGCCUACUUAGGUAACUGCCCUUUGGCUCCACCUGC
rnacentral:lncRNA from 1 species